rnacentral:rRNA from 1 species
AACGAACGCUGGCGGCAGGCUUAACACAUGCAAGUCGAACGCACCCUUCGGGGUGAGUGGCAGACGGGUGAGUAACGCGUGGGAACGUGCCCUUCAGUUCGGGAUAGCCCAGGGAAACUUGGGCUAAUACCGGAUACGUGCGAGAGCAGAAAGAUUUAUCGCUGAAGGAUCGGCCCGCGUCUGAUUAGCUAGUUGGUGGGGUAAUGGCCCACCAAGGCGACGAUCAGUAGCUGGUCUGAGAGGAUGAUCAGCCACAUUGGGACUGAGACACGGCCCAAACUCCUACGGGAGGCAGCAGUGGGGAAUAUUGGACAAUGGGCGCAAGCCUGAUCCAGCCAUGCCGCGUGAGUGAUGAAGGCCUUAGGGUUGUAAAGCUCUUUCGUCCGGGACGAUAAUGACGGUACCGGAAGAAGAAGCCCCGGCUAACUUCGUGCCAGCAGCCGCGGUAA